AUGGCAGACAAUGUUGUGACUUUCUUGUUGCAGAACCUGACUCAGUUGCUCACUCAAGAAUCAAAAUUGCUAGGUGGAGUAGAGGAUCAAGUCAAAUUGCUUAAGAACGAGCUGUCUCUGAUCAACGUCUUCCUCCAAAAUACUGAAGGGAAGCGACAUGACAAGUUGGUGAAGGAGGUAGUGAGCCAAAUCAGGGACGUAGCCUAUGAGGCUGAGGAUGUUAUUGAUACAUUCAUCACAACUGUGACAAAGCACAGAAGAAGAAGAAGCAAGCUGAGGAAGUUAAUCCAUUCCUGUGACCGAGCAAUCGCAUUUCACGAGGUUGCAAGCAAGAUAGAGAGCAUCAAGAAUAUCAUCAAGGAAAUUUAUGAAAAUAGGAGCAAGUACGGCAUAGAAAUAGCUGAAUCGUCUGGAGGAGAUGCAGAAGUGGAGGAGAUACUGCGCAGACGCAGGAGAUAUGUAGAGGAAGAUCAAGUGGUGGGCUUCGAUCAUGACACAGGGCUAUUGGUGAAGCGGCUUACUGAAGGGAGUUCACAACGUGAUGUUGUUUCAAUCAUUGGCAUGGGUGGCUUAGGUAAGACCACUCUUGCUAGGAAGAUCUACAACAACAAUCAUGUCAAGAAUUACUUUGACUUCCUUGGGUGGGUUUAUGUAUCUCAAGAAUAUAGAAUCAGAGAUCUGUUGCUUGAAAUGUUGAAGGAUUUGAUACCAGUGCCAAGAGUGGUGUUGAGAGCCGAAUUGAAAGAGGAAUUAGUCCACGAUUUGGAAGCUAUGUAUCGUUCAAAUGAUAAAUUGAAAGGGACAAUGAAAGUGAAGUUGGAAGUCAGUAUCAAUGAAAUGAAUGAUGAAGAAUUCAGAAAGGCAUGGCUUGGGUUCUUGGAAUGCAUACUAGACCAUGACUUGAAAAAGUUAUUGUCAGGCUACGUGCAAGAUUUUUACCGCAAGAAUGGUGUACGAUUGCAAGAUAUGUCUGACAAUGAAUUAAAAAGUUUGCUGCUCGAAUGCUUGAAAAAUAAGAGAUACCUCCUUGUCAUGGACGACAUUUGGAAAACUGAAGUAUGGAAUGAGGUAAGUUCAGCAUUUCUUGAUAACUUGAAUGGAAGUAGAAUAUUGAUCACUAGCCGAAUAAAAGAAGUGGCAGUACAUGCAAGUAGUCUUGAUAGUACUCAUAUUCCCCCUUAUGAAGUUCCAUUUCUUAAGGAAGAUAAAAGUUGGGAACUCUUCACUAAGAAGGUGUUCCGAGGAGCUACAUGUCCUCCAGAACUUGAAACUCUAGGGAGACAAAUUGUGAAAAGUUGUCAUGGUCUACCACUUGCUAUUGUGGUAUUGGGGGGUCUUUUGGCGAAUAAGGAGAAAUCUCAUCGAACAUGGUCAAAAUUGAUUGGCCAUGUCAAUUGGUAUCUGGGUCAAGAUACAUCAUCUUGUAGAGACAUAUUGGCUCUAAGCUACGACUACUUACCUCGACGUUUGAAACCAUGUUUUCUAUAUCUUGGUAUCUACCCUGAAGACUUUGAGAUACCUAUGAGGCAACUAAUCCGACUUUGGAUAGCUGAGGGAUUCAUACAACAAACUAGAAACAGAAAUAUGGAGGAUGUUGCUGAAGACUACUUGGAGGAACUCAUUGAUCGAAGCUUGAUUCAAGUGGCAACAAAAAGGUUAGAUGGAGGUGUCAAAACAUGUCGUAUACAUGAUCUUCUUCGGGACCUUUGUAUAUCAGAGAGCGCUGAAGAGAAGUUUCUUGAGGUUCACUCGGAUGUUAAACUUUCACCCAUGUGCAAAUCUCGUAGAAUUUCCAUCCAUUAUGCCAAUUAUCUAGACAUUUCUUCCAACCCUUGUGAGCCUUCAAAUUGUCGUUCUUUAAUAACCUUCGGGGGGGUUGACACGCUAGAGAUUCCUCUUGAUAAAAGCUACUUGAAACGGCUAUGCAAAAGUAACAAGUUGGUUCGGGUGGUAGAGCUCAUGAAUAUGGGCAUUUGUUGCUUAAUCCCCAAUGAGAUUGAAAACCUGAUCCUUUUGAGGUACUUGAGCAUUCAAUCUUGUAGGCUUCAUGUGAUUCCAGAUUCCAUAUGCAACCUUUGGAAUCUAGAGAUGUUGGACAUGAGAAAUUCUACAAUAAAAUCAAAAUUCUUGCCCAAGGGGAUAUGGAAGUUACAAAAAUUGAGGCAUUUGUAUCUAAAUGGGUCUACAUGCCUACCUAGAACUGAUAAUAGAGUGGGUUUACCCAAUCUUCAGGUCCUUACUGGUAUAGUUAUAAAUCAAGUCAUUGAAAGUCUCUUUGCCAAGGACAAAUUUCCAAGUGUUAGAAAAUUAGGAUUGUAUUCUUUAGGAUUGACGGAUUCAACAAAGUCAGGGCUUUUGUCAAGCCUCCUUCCCUUGCGUCAUCUACAAACUUUGAAAACUUAUAGACUUAGUGAGUUUUCAAGACCAAUUUCAGUCGAGUUAACCCUCACGAAGAUAACCAUAGUAUGCACAAGCUUAUCUUCAGGCGUCAUGAGGGUGUUGAGUAGCCUUACCAACCUUCGAGUACUCAAACUAGUAGGAACUAUCAAUGAAGGAGACAGUAAGAUGACUGUGAAUUGCGAUGAAAAUAGUUUUCAUCAACUCGAAGUCUUUAAAAUGGCAAACAUAGAUGUUUCAGAAUGGACUAUGGGGAAAGGUGCAAUGCCAAGCCUUCAACGUUUGGUCAUCGAGCGAUGCGAGUUUUCUGAGAUGCCCCUCAACAAACUAUGGCGCUUAACUGCUUUGCAGGAUGUGGAAGUUUUACAUCCCUCUCCAAAAUUGGCAAUGAUGCUUAAACGAUUGCAGAUGAGGGAUGGAUGUAAGCUCUAUGUCUAUCCACCUCUGUACCCAACUACUAACUGAGAAAAAGUUGAUGGCUUCUUCUGCUGUGCUAUGUUUUGGUCCUCUGUUUGUUUGGGUCUUGAUGGUAUGAUAUCUGUACUUGUUAUUUACAUUUUUUUUUCGAAUUCUGUAAUUAACUAAUAAUCCUAGCUUUUAAGCCUUCAUUGCUUUUUUUUUUUUCAAAAGCCUUUCCAAUAAUUUAUUAUAUUUAUGGUGAUAAAUCCAUUUUGGUUUGGAAGAAAGUAUUGUGAUAAUUUAUUAUAUUUGUGAUGAUAAGUCCAUUUAACAGUGCGUGUUUGGGUUCAAUUAUAUUCUAUUAAUUUCAUAAAAAAAAAAAUUCUGUAUAUAAGACUUCCACCCAUUUUUUUUUAAAGAUUUUUUUUUUUACAAGAGGGAUUUGAAUGCAGAUUCUCUGCAUGAGAGUGAAUAGUAUUACUAAAUCACAAUACUCUUAGCGGAACUUCCCAUUACACACACACAUAUAUCCAUAUACACUCAACAAUCUCUCCUCAUGCAAAUUUUUAAAUUGAUAUUCUAAAUUUAAGUUCAAUGACUAGACAUCCUUAUUCUGUUCUGAAAAAAUGAACAUUGAAUAUAAUAUCUUGAUGUUAGUUUUGUCUUCAAGAUUAUUCUUCAAAGAUAUCAAGGAAAGGCAAUGCAAGGCAUUGACGAAUUUGUCAUUGUUUUUUUUAGUGAAUUCUGCUUGUGAUUGUACUCAAAACAAGUAAUUAUCGGUUUAUCACAUGAGUUUAGAAUAAAAUUUUAGUCAAAUGGUGGAAUCAAUCAAGUUACCAUGCCAUAAUGUCAUUUUUAUUGAUAGAUAUUAUUGCACUAUUUUCUUAGAUUUUUUUUUCUUUUUUUUUCUUUUCCCAAUGCUUAAUAAUCUUUUUUCUUAUGUUGUUCCAUAUUUCAAUGCAAUCAUUUCAGAAUAUGUGAACCAAGCAUGAAAAUGUACAAUUGUAACUCACCAGGCUUUUUUCUAUCUGCUCCUGGUUAAACAAUUUGUGUACCAAGCAGUUAAUUACGUUGUAUGAUUUCAAGAAGAUUAUAAUUUGAGAAUUGAAAAAUGAGCUACGUCAUUGUUGUAAUAGGAGAUGAAAAAAGAAUGGAAUUUGAAAUUCCAUAAAGAAGUACACAAUCUGUCCACAAGAAACAUCUUAACACACACUCACUCACUGCAGACAGGAGAAAAAUCAAAUAUCUAAUGCAGAAGAGUUGUUGAACGUAAGUCAAUAGUUGUGUCCUGACAUAGUUUAUAUAAUUUUCCCCACCUUACUAUAUAUUUGAAGGUGAUGAUCACUUUUCCGAGGAUGUUAGGGCAUGUUUCACUUUCACAUGCAUGCCGAAAUAUAAUAGGGGAUGUAAUCACGAACCUUUAUAGAUGACCUUAUAUUUAACUUAUCAAGCUUUGGUCAAUUUAAAUUGUUUUCCCAUUGUUGUUUACUAGGGCCACUUCUCAUCUUAGUUUUGGCUUAAGAACUAAAAAUCUGCUUAUGGUGUAUAUUUGUUAUAUAUAAGCAGGUUGUAAUAUUAGAAGUUGGGUUGAACAAGAAUCCAAUUAUGAAAGUGAUAAAACAAUUUUGCAUUAAUUUGCAUAAGCGAGUAUCAAGCAAACUUCAAGCAGGGCUUUGUGGUUCUUUUUCUAAAGUUGGCUUAGCCGAGAUAUCAAGCGAGUGUCUUUGUGGCUCUCUGUCUAAAGUUGGCUCUACCAAGGUGUUAAGCAAGUGUCAAACGAAAAGCCUUUAGAUUUCCAAUAGAAAAAAUUUUCUAUUCCUAGAUAAGGAGGGAGUUUGUUGUAAACUUCUUAAGCAGGAUGUGCCUGCUUUUUUUUUUUUUUUUUUUUUUUUUUUUUUUUUUGCUUUAAAAAAUUUCAUUUUUUAAAANAUUUUUUAAAAAUAUGACAAUUGAAUUAAGAGGAUUGUUUGAAAAUGUUACCGUUAGAAUAAGAAUAUUUGAAAAUAUGACAAUUAAAUUAAGAGGAUUGUUUGAAAAUGUUACCGUUAGAAUAAGAAUAUUUGAAAAUAUGACUGUUUAGGAACAAAAAUUACCGUUAGGAACAAAUAAUAAAGAAAGAAUAAAAUAAGAAUUAAAAAGAAUUAAAAAAUAAUAUUUAAAUGAAGUGGUAAAAAUAUAGAACAUCUGAUAAAUGAGAUAUUGUAAAAUGAUGUAGUAAAAUAAUAAAGUAGGCUUUUAGUGUAACAAAAUGACAUAAUUUUUGCAAUAGCUGCUAUGAAUGCUCUAAUGCUGCUUCAUACACUUAAUUUGUAUUUCUAAUAAAGGGAAAAUAUUAUCACACACAUUACAUACAUUAAAAUAAAUAAAUAAAAAUUUUUUUUUUUGGUAAGCCAGAACUUAAUAUUAAAAACUACACAGGAACAAUUCUAUUACAAAAAGAAGCCUCCUUAUUAGCAAGGAGGAGAUUAGCCACCACAGGCGGUGGAUACAAAAAAACAACAAAAUUAGAAAUGGAGCUCCCCCCAAAUCUUGCCAGCAUGUCUGCACACUGAUUAGCCUCACGGUAUGUGUGCACCAGCCUCUUGUUGGGAAUGGCCUCUAGCAGCUUCCUGCAAUCAGAUAGCAAAAGUUCCAUUAAAAGAUUUGCCUUAUUAUUAUUCAUGAGCAGAACAAUGCUUAAGGCGUCCAUCUCAACAAUGAGGUUGUUUAGACCAAGCUCUAUUGCGAUUUCAAGGCCAUCAAGGAGAGCCCAUAACUCAGUUGUGGAGCUGCUAGUGUUGCCGUGACAAAUGUAGUAUUAGUGGGGAUGGUUGGCACCCACUAACGUUAACAAUAAAAUAUUAUUUAAACAAGGCAAGUGGCGGGCCGCAAGAAAAACUAAUGAUCAAAGACUUAAAAAUGCAAAUUGUUUAAAAGGAUAAGCUUACAUCAUUUUAGCAAUCUUUAUUUCUUUUUCUCUUUUCUUAGUAUUGCUUUUAGGAAUGACAACGGGUCGGGUUCGGGCCGGGUUUGCUUUGAGGCUCUUGCCUAAUGCUUCUUCGUAUACUUAAUUUGUAUUUGUAUUUCAAAUAAAGGGAAAAUAUUAUCACACACAUUACAUACACUAAAAUAAAAAAAAUAAUUUUAUUUUUUAAGUGACAAAUGUAGUAUUAGUGGGAAUGGUUGGCACCCACUAACGUUAAUAAUAAAAUAUUAUUUAUAGAAGGCAAAUGGCAGGCCGCAAGAAAAACUAAUGAUCAAAGACUUAAAAAUGCAAAUUGUUUAAAAGGAUAAGCUUACAUCAUUUUAGCAAUCUUUAUUUCUUGUUCUCUUUUUUUAGUAUUGCUCAGGACACAACUUUACGCACAAUUUUAUGUCACAACUCGCCACGUAAUGAGCUGUGGCACAAAAUUGUGUCCUGAGCAUUAUUCCUCUUUUUUUCCUUUAAUGGUGUGUUUUAUAAAGUGAAUUUUAGAGAGGAUGGAAAAAAAUGAUAAAAAAAAAAGGGAAAACAUUUUGGAGGGUGUUUGCUUCGGAGGGGGAUAGAGAAAAAAGAUGGUGGGGCCUGAGUGUUUUCUCUCCUGGCCUACCAAAAAGUUUUUUCCUAUUUUUGGAAGAAAACUAGAUAGGGGGAAUCUGAUGGUAAAUGACGAAAUUGACUACACAUGAGAUUCAUCCAAUCCCCCCCCCCCCCUUUUUAAGCUUUUGCUUUUUAUUCGACGUUUGCCUCUACUUUUCUUUUAUUAUCUGUAUAUAUUAAGAGGAUUUAGAAAGUUAGUUAUAACUUUAAAAAUGUCAAAAAUACCCAUAAUCUAAUUAGAUAAUCCUUAUUCUUAAAAAAUAAAAAAUGAGGUUAAAAUUGUAAUUCAAAAAAAUUUAAAAACGAAAAAAAAAAACUACCAUGGAAAAUUUUUUCUUAAAAAUUAGCACACUCUUUAUUUAAAUAUAUUUCACGUUUGAUAAACUUUUUUUCUAAAAACUAGCGCACACUAAACACAGUAGUUUACUCAAUUUCAAAUCAUAAAUUUUAGUUUCUCAAAAAUUCCUUCUAGUGUAACCUCACUAACAACAGAUAAAUUCAUAUUGAAAAAUUAUAUUAAACUCAAAAUAAUAAAAAAGCUUCAUCGCAUUUGCGGAGCGCAUGUGAUGAGGCUAGUCAUUAUUAUUAUUAUUAUUAUUACUUUCUUGGGACGUUGCCUCUUUUUCUUUUUUCUCCUUUUUUCUUUUGAUUUUUUGGUGCCGUGAUGUGGUGCUUCGUGUUUUUUUUUUUUUUUUUAACUAGAAACGAAUUUUUUUUCCUGGACAUGAUUUUUAUUUUUUAAUAAAUUUGGGUGAUUGCUUUUUUUUUUUUUUUUUUUAAUUGGGCAUCAUUUUUUAACAAAGGUAUAUGAGUAAAUUUAUACAAUCUCACUUUUUCAUUCCUCCACUCUUCCACAUCCAACCAAACAAAAAGGAGGGAAAUUAAAAUAUUUUCUAUCCUCCCUCAUUUCUACUCCUCCAACUAAAUAGACCCUUAAAAGAAAUACUCACAAGUCAUAGACUCACAUAGCUAGUGUAAAGUGUGUGUGUGUGUGUGUGUCACCUAUCAUGACAUAUGACAUUUGACAAUUACAAUCCUAGCUGUGUUUCUAUGAGAGACAAAAGGAGGUGUCAGUAGAUUAUUGGCACAUAUGACAAUCUUAGCUAUGUUGAAGUUGAUGUUUGAAAAUUCAUUAGUACAAUGAUGAGUGGUCAUACAUACAUACAUAGAUACACACACAUAUAUAUCUUGUGAAUCAAUAUCAUGAUUUUAAAAACUGGAACGGUGAAAGAAUAAAAAAGUGUUCAAUUUUCAAUUCUUUUAGGUUCUUGACUAGUUUUCACCCAUUUUGACUGGUUUUUUUACCGGUUAUUACUGGUUCGGUUCUAGGUCUGGUUUCUGGUUCAAUCGGCCUAUUCAGUUUGUUUUUUAAAAUAGUGAUCAAAUGUGAUCAUUUAGUUUGGUUGGUCCCCUAAAGGAAAAUUUCUAGCUCUACCCCGACAACAUUCGUUAGUAUAUAACUAAUACCGUAUAAUAUAAUAUGAAAAAUUCAUAACUUGUAAUUGUGCACUUUUUGUAACUAGAUGAUGUCCCGCACAGCGCGCAUACUACUUUACAAUUUCAUUUGAAAUCAUUUUUAUGUAUAUUAAGACCUACAUAUAAUACUUAUUUUAUUGUAUGAUAUUUAUGCUUGCCCAAAAUAUUGUUGAAUACUUUGAAACUUAAUUUUCUUAAUUCAUAUUUUAUUUAAAAAAAAUUGUAUAAAACUAUAAGACUAUAACAUAUUAUAAUAUUUACCAUUAAAAUUAUAUUUUAUUUUUUAAACUAAUUAAAUGAUUUUGAAAUCUAUAAAUAAGAAUUUAAAGCAUAAAAUACUUUCAUAUUUUAAAAUUACAUAAAUUUAAGCAACUUCCCAAACACUUCUUCAAUCUCUCUAUUCUCGCAACCAAAUAUAGAGAUCUCAAUCAUAAACAUCUGCGCGCGUCCAAAUCCCAACUAAUGGGCCAACCGUGCUAUUGGGCUCACAAUUUAUUUAGUACUGUGGGUUUUUGGGUUUCCUACAAUGGGUAAUUCCUUUUUAUAAAUCAAAGCCCACCAAGGUAGAUUAUCUCCUUUGCCAAGCACACCGACAACUAGAUCUCUUCACUUAAUUUCUCUCUAUUCUCCAAUCCUUACCCUCAAUUGUCCAACCACCCUUUUUCUCUUUCCUUUCUCUUAUUUAUAGCCUUUCGAUAGUGGGUUAAUCAUGAUUGUUUUCUGACGCCACUUGUGUGGGUGGGGCCCGUUUUGAUUAUUCUUGACAAGAACAUACUCUACUUUAGGAAUAGGAGCUAGGACAUUGGAACUGAGGUUAGAUGCUGAAGGGCGCUUGGCAGCGAUAUUUCCCAAGGCACUACUGACACAUCAAGGUUCAACAAAGCUAUGGCGGCACCAAGACCAUGAUCAGUUCGGACCGUCCUACCAUGCAUCAGACUCAACAAUGGGCUAG
rnacentral:sRNA from 1 species